UGAACGCUAGCGGCAGGCCUAAUACGUGCAAGUCGAGGGAGAACAUUGGAUUCGUCUGAUGGGAAACCGGCGCACGGGUGCGUAACACGUAUGCAACCCACCUAUAACAGGGGUAUAGCUCAGAGAAAUCUGAAUUAAUCCCCCAUAAGAUUAUGUUCUGGCAUCAGGAAGUAAUUAAAGCUACGGCGGUUAUAGAUGGGCAUGCGUUGCAUUAGCUAGUUGGUGAGGUAAAGGCUCACCAAGACCACGAUGUCUAGGGGAUCUGAGAGGAUGACCCCCCACACUGGUACUGAGACACGGACCAGACUCCUACGGGAGGCAGCAGUAAGGAAUAUUGGUCAAUGGAGGCAACUCUGAACCAGCCAUGCCGCGUGCAGGAAGACAGCCCUCUGGGUCGUAAACUGCUUUUAUUCGGGAAUAAACCUAUCUACGUGUAGAUAGCUGAAUGUACCGAAGGAAUAAGGAUCGGCUAACUCCGU
rnacentral:rRNA from 1 species